UAACUGGUGUGAGAUGCUAUCUCAUUGUAGUUUUGAUUUGCAUUUCUCUGAUGACCAGAGAUGAUGAGCCCUGUUAAGUUCUAUCCUCUCCAUAUGUCCAUGGGGCUGUUGGAAAUAUUCUUUUUCUGGGCUUCAUGCUGUGCCCAGAGCAUUUCCUUUUUCCUUCUCCUUUUUAAGGCAAGGAUGCAUCUGUUUUCAUAAGGUUUGUGAUAAAACAACACUCAAGUUUUGCAAGUUACAUGAUUGUCAUCAUCAUCGCACUAAUUUUUUGUGAAAUAUGCAUUUUAAUUACUUCCAAGAGGGUUUAUUUCUAAUGAAAAAAAUUAAACAAUAAAUAAUUUUAGACUUACCCCAUGCAAGAAAUGACAAAUUCACUGAAGCAAACAUGUUUAGGCUACACUGUAUGCAAUCUACAAAUUGCCUGCUCAGUCUCAGUUUCUUGCAUAUAUUUCUCAUACAUCUAAAUGUUAAUUUCCACACUUCUGUCUCUCUGAAUCCCUGGCAAAUGGCAAUGGCUAGUGACUUUGCAUUCACCUAUCAGAAAAACAUGAAUCCGGACACACUUCCGGGAGCGUGGGACGUGGUAGGAAUUUACUGGAUAAUAGGAACUGAUAUGUUAUUUUGAGAGUGCUAAAAUUCUCCCAGUGAAUGUAACUUUGCCUAUAUUUUAUAUAACUUAUUGGUUUUGGUUUGAUAAUUAAAAAUAUCAAAAUUAUCCUGGGGCAGGAGCCAAGGAUGGUAUUAUACAGUGAGAAGUGAGUCCCACAUGUCAGUCUUGUCAUUUUCUUCCUCAGAUAAAGUGCAGAAUUUUGUCAUCAGUAAUAUGAAAGAGAGAUUUUACAGAAAAAUUGCCAAUUUUUGUCCAUGAAGAUGAGGGCAAUAUGCUAAGUAUCAACGGACUAAAAGAUGGCAUAUAUUUUUUAGUGGGACAUCCAUGCAAGACUGCAUUUCUUACCUGUUGACUAUUACAGUAAAUAGAAAAUAAUUAUUUUAAUUAAGCGACUACAAUUUAGGGCAUUUGUUGUAGAGAUUUACAAAUGUUUCACAUUGCUUGACUUCAGGGGGCGCCAUUUUUACAUCAUCCAUUUCUAAUAGCAUGGCCAAGAGUAUACUCCAAGUAACAAAUGAGGUAUAGCAUAUGAGACAAAGUAGAAACACUUAAAGGGUUAAAGAAAUUUUCACCCGUAUCUCUAUGAUGCAAAGUAAAGCAAAAGACAAAGAAACAAGCAAAAAAGAACAAGUGGUCGCCAAGCUGGACUGCAGUGAUAAAACCAUGGCUCACUGCAAACUCCGCUUUCUGAGCUCAAGCAAUCCUCCCACCUCAGCCUCAUGAGUAGCUGGGACUACAGGUGCCCACCACCACUCCUGGCUAAUUUUUGGGUUUUUAGUAGAGACAGAUUUUUGCCACAUUGGCCGGGUGGGUCCCAAACUCCUGAGCUCAAGCAAUCCACCCACUUCAGCCUCCCAAAGUGUUGAGAUUACAGGCAUAAGCCACCACACCCGGCCGCUGCAUUUUUUUUUAAUGGGAAAUAACAAGCAUAUUCAUUACAUAUAAAAUGAUAUAUUUAGAAAUUUUGUAGGCUUUAUAAAUUCUGUUGGAUAAUGGAAAAUUUUUUAUUGUAUUUUUUGUGUAUGAGAACAUAAUGUUAUAAAGUAAAAUGUACAUAGAGGGAAAUGGGAUUGUGAGGAUAGUAACCAUAGGUGAGGAGAUGGAUGAAAGAAAGGUCUUACACUGCUGUAAGGAGCUGUUACUAUAUCUUCUUCAUAUUUUUAUAAAACAUAUCUUAUUAGAAGACUUAAGUUACUUAUUUUUUUCUUGUAUGUAUAUAUUCACCUCCAUUUUGAAGGCUAUUAGUCUGGGAAACCUACAAGAACAUUGCCGUAGGGAAGCUCAAGUAUGUUAACAACAACAAAAAUAGUUCUGUGAAUGCCUUUACAUAAUAUAAGGUCUACAUAUUCUCUCUAGAUCUGUGCGCCGUAAGACUGGAUUUUGAAAAGCUGAGGCAUAGACUGAUAGCUCUUUACCACACUUGUUUUUUCUUCUUUCUGGAUACAUAGCUUGGCUAUAUUUCCAUGCAACUGUGUCCCGGUUAAUGUGUACCACUUUUAGAGGGUGGUACAUAUAAAUGUUUCUUCCAGUUCUUUCAACAUGUGUCAUUUGAAAAAGGAGAACUCUGAAGCCCUCUAGGAAGUUGGAGCUACAAUACUGGAGGCCAGUUUCCUGAAUUACUCCCUGGUAAAAGCCACCCAGACAAGAAAUGCCUUUAUUUGAAUGUUAUUAAUGAGAAACACAUUUUAAACUUUCAGCCACUUUAACUUUGAGGAUUGUUUGUUAAAACAGCUGGUGUUACCCAAACUGUUAUAGGAGUCUACUAAAUAUCAUUUCAUUUUUUUCCCUUCUCAAACUCAGAAUGAAUUGGGAGAUAGCCGUGGGCAUUAAAACUGUUUCAAGAAGUGCAACUUAGCGUUCAGGGCUGACCUCAUGAGCUUCCAGAGACAUCAGAGUAAGUGACCCUUUUUCUAGUUUCGAAGCUCUGUUCUAGUUCUAAGCAUGCAAAUAAAUUUUAAGCAGGAUUUCUUAGCCUGCAGGAGCUGAGGAUGAUUAAUAAGUCCUGCUGUUAUGCAUAAAUGCACUGACCUAUACUGUGCCCUUCAGUCAAAUUGUAUAUUGUUUAAUCGUGAUAAAUGAAGUGCACCAGGCACAGAUAAGCUAGUCCCUGGAGUAUGUCCAGAUACACCUGAAAGAAGAAUGACUCAAGCUGGGUGUGUAAAGCUACACUUUGGAGGAUAGAGCUUCCCACAGGUGCAAUGGAACUCUCACUUCUCACUUGCUCAGAAAUUAUGAUCUGCAGUGUGAGUCUCCCCUGGUAAGGAAACGUGUCCAGCUCCUUGAAACAUGUUCUAGAGAACAGCAUUCAUUACCCUCCCAUGAACUUAAACAUGCUUCUUGGCUCCUGUGCAUUUUAGGUGUUGAAAUUUCCAGGAUGCAAAACGAAGGGGCAAUUCAAAACAUUCAUCUCCACUUCUCAAAAACUCCUCAGCAUGUUACCUGAGCCUCUUAUCUGCUCCUUGAAGAUGACUGAAGCAGCUCCAUCUACCAAUUGACACACAUCAGGAUCUGCAAGAACAAGAACUCAAUCUUCCUUGUUUCUCUCUUAAAGCCCCACAAGAAAUCAUUUCCCUUGUAUCUCAUUGGCUGAAACUUUGCAGCAUGUUUGUUCCUAAAACAAAUAGCAAGAGGGCUAAAAGGUUCACAGUUAGCUAAAUUAGUCAAGAUUCACUUCUUUCAUCAGGAACUGGGAGGUCUCUUUCCUUAAAUUCCGUUGCUUUGUGAAUGAAUGUGGUUUUCGGAACAUAAGUCAUAGUCUCUAAACAGGGAAGAGGGAUGUCUAUUGGGUAGAUGACUGUAUACUGUCUACUGUUACUCUUAUACUUUAUUGAAUGCAUUUCCUUUUUUCUCUAUUUUUUAAUAUUUGCAUGGUGAGAGUGAAUUCAUUCAAUUGAUUUUAAUUUUAAAUAUAUAUUAAUGCAAAUUUUACAUAGCAAAAUGAAAGAAAUUUUUAGUUCAUUAGAUGCUGUGUCAUUGUAUUGUACUGAAUUUUCUCCUAAUUUUGUAAUUCUGAGGAUGACCCACAACCCAUCUUUUCUCAAACUCAAAUACAGACAUUACCCAAGACUCAUUAAUCAGAACCAAUGACAUUUUUGUCUGGUUUGUGUUUUCUUCUAGAUGUCAAAUUGACAUGUAAGGAUUAACAUAUCCACAAAACAAACUUUAUCAAACUAGGCUGCCCAUUUCUAUGUUCUGUCCUCUGUAAUACAUCAUUUACAUUUUGCUUUAUUGAUUUUUAUUUAGCAUAAUACUUUUGGCAGUGGUGGUGGCCUGUGUGUACAUGUAUGUACAUACAUGUGCUAAAUGUACACAUUUAAUUACAUAUAUGUGAUUUAUGUUAUAUAAUUAUAUAAUUUAUAUAAUUUAAAUUUUAUAAUUAUAUAAUUUAUGUAAUUAUAUAAUAUAAUUUACAUUUUAUAAAUCUAAUAUAAUUUAUAUAAUUUAUAUAAUAUAAUAUAAUUUAUGAAAUUUAUAUAAUUAUAAUACAUACACUUUUAUAUAAUAUAAAUAUUAAUAACUAUUAAUAUUUAUUAAUAGUUAUUAAUAAAUAUUAAAUAAAUACUAAUAACUAUUUCAAAUGCUUUAAAAUAUUUGAAAUAACCUGUAUAUAGAAUUAGACUUAGAUAUCUAACCCUUAUAUAGGAUUAGGCUUGGAUAUCCCAGACAUCCAAAUAGAAUCCUAUAUACAGAUUAGAUAUUCAAAUAUUUUGAAGAAUUACUUCGAUUUUUACAACCUUGGUUAACUCUUCCUUCCUAUGAGAUGGUAUGAUGUAAUUUUUACUACUUUUAUUAUACUGUUUGCCUGCUGUGUGCUGUAGCUAUUCAUAUACUAAAAUUGUUACUCCUACCACAUACACUGUGAUAGUAAAAGCACAGCUAACACUUACAUAAUGUGUAAUUUCCUUAGUAUUUUCGAUGUUACCAUAAUUUUUUGCAAUGCUAAUUAGUAUUUUAUGAUAAAGUACGCUUAAAGAAAUGUGGAGAAUCCUAGUCUAGAAAAAAUAGUUGAGCCUGUAAAAGCUGAUAUGCCACAUGCCACUCCAAGUGGAAUGGAGAUAGUAUGCUGCAUUUCCCAAACAUGUUUGGCCAGGAAUCACUUGUGGUUAUACUCAUAGAAUUACUAGUAUUCUGUGAAACACAUUAGGUGAAUAUAAGUAUUGUGAUUUGUAAUGCAUGCAAUGCUUUAGGAAUAAAUAUCAUUUCAUUUUCACAAAACAUUUGAAGUAAGUAGAUCAAUAAUUGUUAGUAUUCUCAUUCUAUAGAUGACAAGGUUGAUGUAAAAAAUGUGGCACAAGAUUCAUUGGAAAUUCAAAAUAAAAUGUCCUCAACUUUGACUAAA
rnacentral:lncRNA from 10 species